AGGAAACAAAAGACUACCGUACCCAUCAGACUGAACAAGAGACAAUUAGCUGCUGAUAAGGAAUGGAAAAUUUCAUGCAGAUCCAACAAGGAGCUUCGAGAGAGAGAAUGGGUCAUGGGGUGAGUAGUGGAGGGGGCCAGAGCUCAUUGGGCUACCUCUUUUGGAAAUGAUUCUGUUAAUAUAAUUUGUGGAAAUUGCUUGGAUGAAUUUUUUACGAACAGUUAAAAUGAAAUUGCUAUAGAACUUGUAAAUUAUAGCAAUUUAA
rnacentral:lncRNA from 1 species